rnacentral:rRNA from 1 species
UACUACCGAAGCUACGGCAUCAGUAAUGAUGGGUAGGGGAGCUUCCCAUACGGGUUGAAGCAUGACCGUAAGGACAUGUGGACAGUAUGGGAGUGAGAAUGUUGGCAUGAGUAGCGAGAUGUGGGUGAGAAUCCCACAGGCCGUAAACCCAAGGUUUCCAGGGGAAGGUUCGUCCGCCCUGGGGUAGUCGGGACCUAAGCUGAGGCCGAAAGG